GAUGAAGAACGCAGCGAAAUGCGAUAAGUAAUGUGAAUUGCAGAGUUUUGUGAAUCAUCGAGUCUUUGAACGCACAUUGCGCCCCCUGGUAUUCCGGGGGGCAUGCCUGUCCGAGCGUCAUUGCUGCCCUCAAGCACGGCUUGUGUGUUGGGCCCCGUCCUCCGAUCCCGGGGGACGGGCCCGAAAGGCAGCGGCGGCACCGCGUCCGGUCCUCGAGCGUAUGGGGCUUUGUCACCCGCUCUGUAGGCCCGGCCGGCGCUUGCCGAUCAACCCAAAUUUUUUAUCCAGGUUGACCUCGGAUCAGGUAGGGAUACCCGCUGAACUUAAGCAUAUCAAUAAGCGGAGGA
rnacentral:misc_RNA from 1 species